GCAUUAACAAGUACAGUCGAUCCCUUGAGCCACCGCCUUACGUGUUAAUUUAGCUUGGACGCGUAGUACAAGGAAAGUUACUAAGGAAUUCGAGCGACUAUGGAAAUAACUGUCAGAGACCGGUAUUCUCCUCUGGCAGUUAUCGUUAUUGGCUCGUAGUUCUAGUUCUCUGGCAGUUAUCGGGCUACCACCACAGGUAACCUGGAAGCUGGUAACGGAAUAACUGUGUGUGUAGACGUUCCUGACUCGGUGACUCCAGUUACAGGUCGUAGUUCCAGGUGAUAUUUCCAGAGAGGAUAGUAACUGGAGCGAACAAAUAUUUUCGUACUGCUACGGAAACGACGGUGGGCCAUCGGGGAGAGGGGAUGGCAAAUAACGGGAAUCUAUCGUCUCAUUUCUCUGCAAUUCUUGGUGUUCCGGAACAGGUGUCACCAUUUUUCCGGCCUUUGGUUGCGUUGCAGGGUAUUGACUUUUGUUCCGCGUUGUUGUUUUUCUUUGUGUUGUUGAUAGUACUACCAAUAGUUGCCAACAUGAAGAGGUCGAGGACAAGCGAAAUGUGGUCAUAUUUCGAAACUCUUGAUCGAGAGUUUGCGAAAUGUACUUUGUGCGGUAAGAAAUUAUCGUACAAAUCGACGACGACGAAUUUACAAAAACAUCUUCAGAAAUCACAUUUAAUUGUGAAUUUCUCUUCACAAAGACCUUCGGAGCUAGAUUUGGGUGAAACCCUUCCUGUAGAGGUGAUCCUUGGCACCAGUAGUGUGGAAGAGGAGCGAGAGGCACACCAACACCAGCAGAUGAGUCUCCGUUUAAUACUUGGGAUAUUAUAACAGUAAGUUAUAGCUCCAGAAGUCAGUCACCAGCAGCAGAUGUCACACAGUUAUAAAAUGGGAAACUUGAAGAAUAAGCUCCAGAAGUCAGCAGCAGCAGCAGCCGCUGUCACACAGCCAUAAUGCGAGAAGCUUGAAGAAUAAUGUGGUAGUGGUUUGGAUACAUAUGACAUAUUUCACCUUCAGUUUAAAAUUGAAGUUUGUUUAUAUUGGCAGGUGGUAACUCAGAGCUCUUUGUUCCAGUUAUGGCUCCGAUAGUCUUCGCAGCAAAGGUUACACAGUCCUAUAGAGGCAAACUUGAAGUAUAAAGUAAUAGUGUUUUGCAUACAAUGGCAAACUUGACCUUUCGCUUAAAAUGGAGGUACAUUUGCACUGAGUUUGUUAUGACACGUGAAUGGAUUACCAGUGAUGUAUAUGUAAAUACUGGAAUUUGUAACUUAGAACUUAAUUUCAGUAUCGGCUUUGAAAUUUGGUCACUGCAUACAACUAUAUUAUCUUUCAUGUUGAUAGCAGCAAUCAUCAGAUUGCAAUCCAGUUAAGUACCUGUGAGGCAUGAGAUGUCAAAAAUACUUGUGUGUUAUUGGUAGCCUGUGUCAAGGCAUGUGGCACCUCAAAGUUUGUAAGUACAGUAGCAUUUUGUUUCCUGCUUUACUUAAAAAUUGGUAGCUGUAGCACCCAUUCUGACAUUCAAUUAUUUUGAAUUUCAAGUUUCUUAGAAUGAUACUGACAUCAGUUUGUUAACACUAAUCCGUAUAUUAUUGUUAAUAUAUGCUGCUAUUUUCACAUCUUGUGCUCAAUACUAAAUUUCAUUUGCAAAACACGGAAGUUUUCCUAUCUUUGUGGUGGAACACAACAAAUUCUCAUAAUUUUGCUAGUUUGUAUUCUAGAAAGGGUGCCAGAAAUGGAAGAGUAUAAUUUUUAUUAAAUCGGGCAUUAAAUGUAAGUAGGUUGGAGUACAGAAAGGGUGCAACUGGCCUUCCCCACUGUAGCCUGAUGUGCUCCAACAUGCAUUUGUACUGAUGUGCAGGUGAUUAUAACACUAGUAUCAAACUGCAUGGUACCCACUUACUAAUGUGAUCUACCCUUGCAUGAUCUUCUGCAGACAGCAAGAAAUCCGCUACUGCUCUUACUACCUGUCCAACAGUUGUGGAGGAUUUUUUCCCCUUGGUGCUUGACAUGACAUGUUUUGCUCUCUGCCCUUAAAAUCUCAAUUAUUGUUACAUUUUUCAUCCCUUUUCUAUCUCCUGAUGGACCUGUAUUGAUUAAAAAACUAAUCACUGCAGAGGUGAUUGUAGAACUUUUGCUAGUGGCAGUGUGGAGGGGCUCCACUCUUUAAAAAAUAAAAUUACAUUGUGGGACAUGGAAUUAUUAUUAUUAGAUGCUUUCAUGUACAUUUUGUUUACUGAAAAAGUCAGUCAUUAUCUGAGGUAUUUAAAUGUUAACUUCAAAUCUAAAACUGCAUCAAAAGAUAAAUUUCAGUAAGUCUUUAACAAGUUUCAGUAUCUUGCUUCACAUGCUGGACCCUCCAACUAUAAAAAACAGUGUUUUGCAGAGAACAGCUAUUCAGAUGUUAACAUCCCAGAAUUUGUGUAGAAGAUAUCCCUUACAUUGUUAGUUUCAUUGUGGUCACACUCUACAGUGUAGUGUUAUCAGCAUACAUAUAGAAGUUUGAA